AGGGAUUUAGCUCAGUGGUAUAAGCGCCUGCCUGGUAAGCGUGAGGUCGUGACUUCAAUCCCUG
rnacentral:tRNA from 1 species